rnacentral:rRNA from 1 species
AUUGAACGCUGGCGGCAGGCCUAACACAUGCAAGUCGAGCGGUAGCACAGAGAGCUUGCUCUCGGGUGACGAGCGGCGGACGGGUGAGUAAUGUCUGGGAAACUGCCUGAUGGAGGGGGAUAACUACUGGAAACGGUAGCUAAUACCGCAUAACGUCGCAAGACCAAAGUGGGGGACCUUCGGGCCUCAUGCCAUCAGAUGUGCCCAGAUGGGAUUAGCUGGUAGGUGGGGUAGCGGCUCACCUAGGCGACGAUCCCUAGCUGGUCUGAGAGGAUGACCAGCCACACUGGAACUGAGACACGGUCCAGACUCCUACGGGAGGCAGCAGUGGGGAAUAUUGCACAAUGGGCGCAGGCCUGAUGCAGCCAUGCCGCGUGUAUGAAGAAGGCCUUCGGGUUGUAAAGUACUUUCAGCGGGGAGGAAGGCGAUAAGGUUAAUAACCUUGUCGAUUGACGUUACCCGCAGAAGAAGCACCGGCUAACUCCGUGCCAGCCGCCGCAGUAA